UGGGGGGUCGUCUAAUUGGCAGGACACAGGAUUCUUGAUCUUGUUAUGGGAGUUCGAAUCCUUAUCCCCCACCCA
rnacentral:tRNA from 1 species